CCAGGAGACACGAUUUCUUCAACAUAUUUUUGACGUGGAAAUCACAGCGGAUUGAUACGCUGGUGGCUUGUUGGAGAUAUAUAUGUCGAUUUUUCUUUCUUGACGAUAAUAUUUGUGCCUGGACGUACUGCUUCGGGCAAAUCAAUGUAUCAUUCAAGAGAUGGCGGUUUGAGGUAAAGAAAAAAUAUUUCGUCCAAAUAACAGAAGAUUGGGAGCGAUUCUGGCAUCUUGACGAGCGUGUGGAUGGAGUAGAUUUUUUUGCACUUUGCAGUUACUGGGACACGGAUGAAAUUCAGGCUCAAGCUGAAAUAGCAAGGAGGAAUCGCAACGCGCC